rnacentral:tRNA from 1 species
GAGGGUAUAGCUCAAGUGGUAGAGCACAUGCUUAGCAUGCUUUGGGUCCUGAGUUCAAACCCUGGUACCUCCU